rnacentral:rRNA from 1 species
CCUACGGGAGGCAGCAGUGGGGAAUAUUGCACAAUGGGCGCAAGCCUGAUGCAGCCAUGCCGCGUGUAUGAAGAAGGCCUUCGGGUUGUAAAGUACUUUCAGUCGUGAGGAAGGUGGUGUUGUUAUUAGCAAGCAUCAUUUGACGUUAGCGACAGAAGAAGCACCGGCUAACUCCGUGCCAGCAGCCGCGGUAAU